UACCAGCACCCCGAGUGGUCGGGACGAUUAUUGGGCCUAAAGCAUCCGUAGCCGGUCCUAUAAGUCUUCCGUUAAAUCCACCUGCUCAACAGAUGGGCUGCGGAAGAUACUAUAGGGCUAGGAGGCGGGAGAGGCAAGCGGUACUCAGUGGGUAGGGGUAAAAUCCUCUGAUCCAUUGAAGACCACCAGUGGCGAAGGCGGCUUGCCAGAACGCGCUCGACGGUGAGGGAUGAAAGCUGGGGGAGCAAGCCGG
rnacentral:rRNA from 1 species